ACAAAUUUUAGAAUACAACGGGUAUGUUGAUGAUGUGAUGUAAUAAACUAAUCAAAUAUCUCUUUUUAAAAAUAUAUAUAUAUGUCCAUCAUGAUUAUAAAAAAAUAUUUUGGGAAAACUUCAAAAACCUCCCAUGUGGUUUCGUGCAUUCUCACUUUGCUACCAUGUGGUUUAAAACGUAUCAAUUUGCCCCCCUGUGGUUUCGUUUUUAUCUUUUUGUUAUCAAUUUUAUUAUUAUUUUUUUUUUAAAUCAGUGACAAAAUUAAAAUUAAAGGAUACUAAAGUGACUAUUCGAUAAAUAUAGAUGGUUAUCUGAAGUUUUUUGUAUAUAAUUUAACGAAAUAUUAACGAAAAAGCUUCCGAAAAGAUAAAAAUGAAACCACAGGGGGGUAAAUUGAUACGUUUUAAACCACAGGGUAGCAAAGUGAGAAUGCACGAAACCACAGGGGGGGUUUUUGAAGUUUUCCCAAAUAUUUUUAUUGUACUUUUAUUUGAAAAGAAAAAAUACGAUUGACUUAUUAUUGAUGACGUGGUAUAAGUGUGACAAUGUAGAAUUCCUUCGGCCAGCCGCCAUGGUGUCAACUUGUCAUCUCCAAGUGAGAUAUGAUUUGUUACUGAUCUAUCCUAACACUAGUAGUAAAAAAUUUAAUAAUUAAUAAUCGAGAUCUCAAGGUUGAAGUCUAAUUAUUUUACAAACUAAAUUUAUUUUUAAAAAAAAA
rnacentral:lncRNA from 1 species